rnacentral:rRNA from 1 species
UGAAUACGAGACGCUAAGGCGUCGAAGUAGUGUAUGUCAUACUUCCAAGAAAAGCUUGCACUGUCAUAGAUAAAAAACGCCUGUACCAUAACCGACACAGGUGGGUAGGUAGAGUAUACUAAGGGGCGCGAGAUAACUCUCUCUAAGGAACUCGGCAAAAUAACUCCGUAACUUCGGGAGAAGGAGUGCCUUAUUCGUAAGGUUGCAAUAACAAGAUCCAAGCAACUGUUUAUCAAAAACACAGGUCUCCGCUAAGUCGUAAGACGAUGUAUGGGGGCUGACGCCUGCCCAGUGCCAGGAGGUUAAAGAAGUUGGUUAGCAAUUGCGAAGCUGAUAACUGAAGCCCUGGUGAACGGCGGCCGUAACUAUAACGGUCCUAAGGUAGCGAAAUUCCUUGUCGGGUAAGUUCCGACCCGCACGAAAGGCGUAAUGAUUUGGAUACUGUCUCGGAGAGGGGCUCGGUGAAAUAGACUUGUCUGUGAAGAUGCGGACUACCUGCACCAGGACAGAAAGACCCUAUGAAGCCUUACUGUAACUUGAAAUUGAAAUUGGACUUUAUUCGCGCAGUAUAGGUGGGAGGCGUUGAUUAUAAUCUUGUGGGAUUAUUGGAGCCAUCAGUGAGAUACCACUCUUGUAAUGUUAGAUUUCUAACUUUGAAUCAUUAUCUGGUCAAAGAACAGUUUCAGGCGGGCAGUUUGACUGGGGCGGUCGCCUCCUAAACGGUAACGGAGGCGUACAAAGGUUUCCUCUGAACGGUUAGAAAUCGUAUCUAGAGUGUAAAGGCAUAAGGAAGCUUGACUGUGAGACCUACAAGUCGAGCAGGGACGAAAGUCGGUCUUAGUGAUCUGACGGUACUGAGUGGAAAGGCCGUCACUCAACGGAUAAAAGUUACUCUAGGAUAACAGGCUGAUCUCCCCCAAGAGUUCACAUCGACGGGGAGGUUUGGCACCUCGAUGUCGGCUCAUCGCAUCCUGGGGCGGUAGUACGUCCCAAGGGUUGGGCUGUUCGCCCAUGAAAGCGGUACGCGAGCUGGGUUCAGAACGUCGUGUGACAGUUCGGUCCAUAUCCGGUGUAGGCGUUAGAAUAUUGAGAGGAGCCUUCUUUAGUACGAGAGGACCGAGAAGGACAUACCUCUGGUGUACCAGUUAUCGUGCCAACGGUAAACGCUGGGUAGCUAUGUAUGGAGUGGAUAACCGCUGAAAGCAUCUAAGUGGGAAGCCCACCUCAAGAUAAGUAUUCUCA